AGCGGAGGAAAAGAAACUAACAAGGAUGUGCGCCCUAUGAUAAUCGGCGAGCGAACCGGGAAUAGCCCAACGUGUAAAUCUCCCUCGGAGAAUUGUAGUCUAUAGAAGCAACUUCUGCAACGGCCGGACCUCAAGUCCCCUGGAAGGGGGCGUCAGAGAGGGUGAGAACCCCGUCGGGUCUUGGUGCGGUUGCCUCACGAAGUGCUCUCCAAGAGUCGGGUUGUUUGGGAAUGCAGCCCAAAUUUGGUGGUAAAUCCCAUCUAAGGCUAAAUAUUGGCGAGAGACCGAUAGCGAACAAGUACCGUGAGGGAAAGAUGAAAAGAACUUUGAAAAGAGAGUUAAAAAGUGCUUGAAAUUGUUGAGGGGGAAGCGAUUGGCAGCUGUGUGUGCACCUAGGCUUACGUCGCCUUAACGGGCGGCUGCAUGUGCUAGGUGCUGGUCAGCAUGGGUUAGCCUGGCAGGAUAAACGCAGGGGUUGUUACUCUGUCUAUACUGCCGGGUUGACCGAGGUGUGAAGGCCGCUCUUGUCCCUCGGGAUCUGCGGCCUCAAGAUGCUGGCGGAAGGCUUUCAAUCGGCUCGUCUUGAAACACGGACCAAGGAGUCUAACAUGUAUGCGAGCUGGUGGGUGGCAAACCCAUGAGGCGCAAGUAACCUGACUGGUGGGAUGGCGUAAGCCUGCACCAUCGACCGACCAUGAUCUUCUGUGAAAGGUUCGAGUACGAGCAUACCUGUUGGGACCCGAAAGAUGGUGAACUAUGCCUGAGCAGGGCGAAGCCAGAGGAAACUCUGGUGGAGGCUCGUAGACGUGCUGACGUGCAAAUCGCUUUUCGGACUUGGGUAUAGGGGCGAUAAGACUAAUCGAACCUUCUAGUA
rnacentral:rRNA from 1 species